GUGGGGUUGUGGCUCAGUGGUAGAGCGCUCACCUAGCAUGUAUGUGGCCUGAGUUCGAUCUUCACACUACAUA
rnacentral:tRNA from 1 species